rnacentral:rRNA from 1 species
AUUGAACGCUGGCGGCAGGCCUAACACAUGCAAGUCGAACGGUAACAGGAAGAAGCUUGCUUCUUUGCUGACGAGUGGCGGACGGGUGAGUAAUGUCUGGGAAACUGCCUGAUGGAGGGGGAUAACUACUGGAAACGGUAGCUAAUACCGCAUAACGUCGCAAGACCAAAAAGGGGGACCUUCGGGCCUCUUGCCAUCGGAUGUGACCAGAUGGGAUUAGCUAGUAGGUGGGGUAACGGCUCACCUAGGCGACGAUCCCUAGCUGGUCUGAGAGGAUGACCAGCCACACUGGAACUGAGACACGGUCCAGACUCCUACGGGAGGCAGCAGUGGGGAAUAUUGCACAAUGGGCGCAAGCCUGAUGCAGCCAUGCCGCGUGUAUGAAGAAGGCCUUCGGGUUGUAAAGUACUUUCAGCGGGGAGGAAGGGAGUAAAGUUAAUACCUUUGCUCAUUGACGUUACCCGCAGAAGAAGCACCGGCUAACUCCGUG